rnacentral:snRNA from 1 species
CUGGGUGUUGCUUCAGCGGCACACAAACAGGAACGAUACCAAGGUUAGCAUGGCCCCUAUGUGAGGAUGACACACACGUGUGUGACGCUUUCCAUAUUAAA